UACGGUAGGGUGCAAGCGUUGUCCGGAUUUAUUGGGCGUAAAGAGCUCGUAGGCGGUCUGUCGCGUCGGAUGUGAAAACCCAGGGCUCAACCCUGGGCCUGCAUUCGAUACGGGCAGACUAGAGUGUGGCAGGGGAGACUGGAAUUCCUGGUGUAGCGGUGAAAUGCGCAGAUAUCAGGAGGAACACCGGUGGCGAAGGCGGGUCUCUGGGCCAAUACUGACGCUGAGGAGCGAAAGCGUGGGGAGCGAACAGG
rnacentral:rRNA from 1 species